UACGUAGGGGGCGAGCGUUGUCCGGAUUUAUUGGGCGUAAAGAGCUCGUAGGCGGCUUGGCAAGUCGGGUGUGAAACCUCCAGGCUCAACCUGGAGACGCCACUCGAUACUGCUAUGGCUAGAGUCCGGUAGGGGACCACGGAAUUCCUGGUGUAGCGGUGAAAUGCGCAGAUAUCUGGAGGAACACCGGUGGCGAAGGCGGCAUCCUGGACCAUUACUGACGCUGAGGAGCGAAAGCCAGGGGAGCAAACGGG
rnacentral:rRNA from 1 species